rnacentral:rRNA from 1 species
AACGCGAAGAACCUUACCUGGACUUGACGUACCCUGAAUUACUCGUAAUGGAGGAAGCCCUUCGGGGCAGGGAGACAGGUGGUGCAUGGUUGUCGUCAGCUCGUGUCGUGAGAUGUUAGGUUAAGUCCUGCAACGAGCGCAACCUUUAUCAUUAGUUGCUACCAUUAAGUUGAGCACUCUAGUGAGACUGCCCGGGUUAACCGGGAGGAAGGUGGGGAUGACGUCAAAUCAUCAUGCCCCUUAUGUCCAGGGUUACACACGUGCUACAAUGGUGGGUACAGAGAGAUGCAAGACCGCGAGGUGGAGCAAAACUCAAAAACCUACCUCAGUUCGGAUUGUAGGCUGAAACUCGCCUACAUGAAGCUGGAGUUGCUAGUAAUCGCGAAUCAGCAUGUCGCGGUGAAUACGUUCCCGGGCCUUGUACACACCG